CCUACGGGAGGCAGCAGUGGGGGAUAUUGGACAAUGGGGGGAACCCUGAUCCAGCGACGCCGCGUGAGUGCAGAAGUAUCUCGGUAUGUAACGCUCUAUCAGCAGGGAAGAAGGAAUGACGGUACCUGAGUAAGAAGCCCCGGCUAACUACGGGACAGCAGCCGCGGUAAUACGGAGGGGGCAAGCGUUAUCCGGAAGUACUGGGGGUAAAGGGAGCGUAGACGGUGAUGUAAGUCUGGAGUGAAAGGCGGGGGCCCAACCCCCGGACUGCUCUGGAAACUAAGUGACUGGAGUGCAGGAGAGGUGAGCGGAAUUCCUAGGGUAGCGGUGAAAUGCGUAGAUAUUAGGAGGAACACCAGUGGCGAAGGCGGCUCACUGGACUGUAACGGACGUUGAGGCUCGAAAGCGUGGGGAGCAAACAGGAUUAGAUACCCUUGUAGUC
rnacentral:rRNA from 1 species